rfam:Drosophila mojavensis strain TSC#15081-1352.22 Ctg01_7947, whole genome shotgun sequence.
CAAGUCAAUGUCAAAGUGUUGCCUGCUUGCCUUACAACAAAGUUAAUUGCGCUGCACGCGCACGCCAAGAUCCA